rnacentral:rRNA from 1 species
AGUCGAACGGAGUCAAGAGGAGCUUGCUUUUCUUGACUUAGUGGCGAACGGGUGAGUAACGCGUGAGUAACCUGCCCUGGAGUGGGGGACAACAGUUGGAAACGACUGCUAAUACCGCAUAAGCCCACGAUCCGGCAUCGGAUUGAGGGAAAAGGAUUUAUUCGCUUCAGGAUGGACUCGCGUCCAAUUAGCUAGUUGGUGAGGUAACGGCCCACCAAGGCGACGAUUGGUAGCCGGACUGAGAGGUUGAACGGCCACAUUGGGACUGAGACACGGCCCAGACUCCUACGGGAGGCAGCAGUGGGGGAUAUUGCACAAUGGGGGAAACCCUGAUGCAGCGACGCCGCGUGGAGGAAGAAGGUUUUCGGAUUGUAAACUCCUGUCGUUAGGGACGAUAAUGACGGUACCUAACAAGAAAGCACCGGCUAACUACGUGCCAGCAGCCGCGGUAAA